rnacentral:rRNA from 3 species
CAAAGAUUAAGCCAUGCAUGUCUCAGUACAAGCCAAAUUAAGGUGAAACCGCGAAAGGCUCAUUAAAUCAGUUAUGGUUCCUUAGAUCGUACCCACAUUUACUUGGAUAACUGUGGUAAUUCUAGAGCUAAUACAUGCAAACAGAGCUCCGACCGGAGACGGAAGGAGCGCUUUUAUUAGAUCAAAACCAAUCGGUGGCGGGUCUCCCGUCACCGUACACCUUGGUGACUCUGAAUAACUUAUUGCUGAUCGCACGGUCUCGCACCGGCGACGCAUCUUUCAAAUGUCUGCCUUAUCAACUGUCGAUGGUAGGUUCUGCGCCUACCAUGGUUGUAACGGGUAACGGGGAAUCAGGGUUCGAUUCCGGAGAGGGAGCCUGAGAAACGGCUACCACAUCCAAGGAAGGCAGCAGGCGCGCAAAUUACCCACUCCCGGCACGGGGAGGUAGUGACGAAAAAUAACGAUACGGGACUCAUCCGAGGCCCCGUAAUCGGAAUGAGUACACUCUAAACCCUUUAACGAGGAUCAAUUGGAGGGCAAGUCUGGUGCCAGCAGCCGCGGUAAUUCCAGCUCCAAUAGCGUAUAUUAAAGUUGUUGCGGUUAAAAAGCUCGUAGUCGAAUUUGUGUCCCGCGCCGCCGGUUCAUCGCUCGCGGUGUCAACUGGCGUGUCCGCGGGACGUCCUGCCGGUGGGCUUAGCCCCCCGUGGGCGGCCCAAUCUCAAUCCCACCGCGGUGCUCUUCAUUGAGUGUCGAGGUGGGCCGGCACGUUUACUUUGAACAAAUUAGAGUGCUUAAAGCAGGCUAAAACAUCGCCUGAAUACUGUGUGCAUGGAAUAAUGGAAUAGGACCUCGGUUCUAUUUUGUUGGUUUUCGGAACCCCGAGGUAAUGAUUAAUAGGAACGGAUGGGGGCAUUCGUAUUGCGACGUUAGAG